CGGAAAACUGGGGAUAAUACUCUAUAGUCCGGUUUGACUGGAAUGUCAUCCGGAUGAAAGAUCCGUCGCUUCAGGAUGAGUCUGCGGCCGAUUAGGUAGUUGUUGGGGUAAAAGCCCAACAAGCCUGUAAUCGGUACGGGUUGUGGGAGCAAGAGCCCGGAGAUGGAUUCUGAGACACGAAUCCAGGCCCUACGGGGCGCAGCAGGCGCGAAAACUUUACAAUGCGGGCAACCGUGAUAAGGAAACCCCGAGUGCCAGCAUAGGCUGGCUGUCCACCAGUGUAAAAAACUGGUGAAGAAAGGGCCGGGCAAGACCGGUGCCAGCCGCCGCGGUAACA
rnacentral:rRNA from 1 species